GAUGAACGCUGGCGGCGUGCCUAACACAUGCAAGUCGAGCGAUUUACUUCGGUAAAGAGCGGCGGACGGGUGAGUAACGCGUGGGUAACCUGCCCUAUACACACGGAUAACAUACCGAAAGGUAUGCUAAUACGAGAUAAAAUAGGAGAUUCACAUGGAUUUCUUAUCAAAGCUGAGGCGGUAUAGGAUGGACCCGCGUCUGAUUAGCUAGUUGGUAAGGUAACGGCUUACCAAGGCGACGAUCAGUAGCCGACCUGAGAGGGUGAUCGGCCACAUUGGAACUGAGACACGGUCCAAACUCCUACGGGAGGCAGCAGUGGGGAAUAUUGCACAAUGGGCGAAAGCCUGAUGCAGCAACGCCGCGUGAGUGAUGAAGGCCUUCGGGUCGUAAAACUCUGUCCUCAAGGAAGAUAAUGACGGUACUUGAGGAGGAAGCCCCGGCUAACUACGUGCCAGCCGCCGCCGUAA
rnacentral:rRNA from 1 species